UCUCUGUGAUGAUCAAAACGAUGACGAGUCCGAUCCAUUCAUUCAUUAAAUCGUGACGACAAUUGAGGCAUUUGUCUGAGAGGA